rnacentral:rRNA from 1 species
AACGAACGCUGGCGGCAGGCCUAACACAUGCAAGUCGAGCGCCCCGCAAGGGGAGCGGCGGACGGGUGAGUAACGCGUGGGAACGUACCUUUUGCUUCGGAAUAGCCUCGGGAAACUGGGAGUAAUACCGAAUGUGCCCUACGGGGGAAAGAUUUAUCGGCAAAAGAUCGGCCCGCGUUGGAUUAGGUAGUUGGUGGGGUAAUGGCCUACCAAGCCGACGAUCCAUAGCUGGUUUGAGAGGAUGAUCAGCCACACUGGGACUGAGACACGGCCCAGACUCCUACGGGAGGCAGCAGUGGGGAAUCUUAGACAAUGGGCGCAAGCCUGAUCUAGCCAUGCCGCGUGAGCGAUGAAGGCCUUAGGGUUGUAAAACUCUUUCGUGGGGGAAGAUAAUGACUGUACCCCAAGAAGAAGCCCCGGCUGACUCCGUGCCAGCCGCCGCGGUAA